AAGAUAAUGUCUGAUGGAUUGUUUGUUUUAGCUAGAUAAUCCUGACUAUGCAAGUUGCACACGACCCACUCAUCUGGGCUCGUGUGAAAUUGUCAGACGUGAAAUUAUUUAUCUGCGCACGAAACUUAUAUUGCACACCACAGGAGUAUAAUAUUGAUAUUUUUAGCGUGGCCUGUAUCUGAGGUUUUUUAUCAUGAUAUUUAUGUCAAAGUCGUAAUGUGUUAAGUUUAAAUGUUUCGGUCAAUCGCAAAAGUGGAUUUUUUUAAACACUGCGACAGUGAUUGAUGCACUUGCUGGCUGGCUUUUACUGGAACAAUAGCUGUGCACAAGUUUUCCCUUCAUUCAUCCUUCAUUAAUUCGGAUUUGAAGAUCGCCAUCCUUCAUUCACCUUCAUUCAAUUUCCCUCACAUCACCUUCAUUUAUCCAUCGUCUCCUGUUCAGAUUCUCCAUAUAUGUAGGAAUCUGAGUUUGUAACAUGGAGAGGAAGUUGACUUUGUUUGUCUGGACAAACGUUUGUGUAUUUAACAUACACGAGUUCGAGUCCAUCCGACCUGCAGUACAAGAGCAGAGACGGACCGGAUACGAAACAACACGUGUUUAUUAUUUUGUCAAGCAGGCUGUUAUGCACUAGCUUGUAUAACAAUUCUCAAUUUGCCUCAAAUGAGACUUGAGAUUGUAACCGUUGUAUUAAAUUGCCCUCAAUAAUUAGUAUCAAAUUGCCCAUAAUAAUUUAACAAGUAUAACGUGUAUCGUGUCUGAAUUAAGAUUAAAUAAAUAACCCCGUUUCUAUUAAUGCGAAAUUAA